rnacentral:rRNA from 1 species
AGGAUAAACGCUGGCGGCGUGCCUAACACAUGCAAGUCGAACGCGCUUACUAUCCGCGAGGAGGGUGAGCGAGUGGCGGACGGGUGAGGAACACGUGGGUGACCUACCUUUCAGUGAGGGAUACCGGCGAGAAAUUGCCGACAAGACCGCAUACGCUUCUCUUUUCAAGGGGAGAAGGAAAGCUUUUCGCAAGAGAGGCGCUGGGAGAUGGGCCUGCGGCCGAUUAGCUAGCUGGUGGGGUAAUGGCCUACCAGGGCGACGAUCGGUAGCUGGUCUGAGAGGACGAUCAGCCACACUGGGAUUGAGAACGGCCCAGACUCCUACGGGGGGCAGCAGUGAGGAAUUUUCGGCAAUGGGGGCAACCCUGACCGAGCAACGCCGCGUGCAGGACGACGGCCUUCGGGUUGUAAACUGCUUUUCUCUGGGACGAGAGCGGACGGUACCGAGAGGAAGAAGCCCCGGCUAACUACGUGCCAGCAGCCGC